UACACGCUGUGACUAGCAUAUCAAUAAGCGGAGGAAAAGAAACUAACAAGGAUUCCCUCAGUAACGGCGAGUGAAGCGGGAAGAGCUCAAAUUUGAAAUCUUGAAAGGUCACCUUUCACGAAUUGUAGUUUAAAGAAGUGUUUUCUGUUACGAUCGUAAUAUAAGUUCUUUGGAAUAGGACAUCACAGAGGGUGAGAAUCCCGUCUAUGAUUGCGAUUUGUAGCUUUGUGAUACACUUUCAAAGAGUCGGGUUGUUUGGGAAUGCAGCCCAAAACGGGAGGUAAAUUUCUUCUAAGGCUAAAUAUUGGCGAGAGACCGAUAGCGAACAAGUACCGUGAGGGAAAGAUGAAAAGAACUUUGAAAAGAGAGUUAAAUAGUACGUGAAAUUGUCAAAAGGGAAGCGUUUAACACCAGUGUUGUUUUCUGAAAAUCAACCUCUGUUAGCUUUAUGCAUGUUUGUUUAGACCUAAUCAGCUAUCUUUCAUGUUCUAUUGUUUGCAGUGGUGCACUUUUCAGUUUACAGGUCAACAUCAGGUUUUUUUACCGUAAAAAAGUUAAAGAAAGGUAGCUCAUGGCUCCGGUCGUGAGUGUUAUAGUCUUUUUCCUAUGCGGUAGGAGAGACUGAGGUCUGCAGUGUAGGCUAUUUGGCUAGAUACUCAGGUGCUAUGUGAUACCAUUUCAUAAACAACUUGUUGAUUAUGUUUUGUCUAUUGCAUACUCGCUUGUACUAUCAUACCUACGCUUAGGAUGUUGAGUAGCGACAUACGCAC
rnacentral:rRNA from 1 species